CUUGCCCAGGUGUACCAGACAUUAUUAUGCUCUGCUAUGAGAUCCUCGGCUGUAUAAGCAGGGACCUGCCCAACAGGAGCGGCGGUGCCCGCGGAGCCGCCGCCUCAGCCGUGCCGGGCUCGGAGCCGCUCCCCGCCGCGCUGCUGGCUCAGGUACGCGCUGCGGGCGGUGCGGGGCGGCGGCAGCGCCGGGGCCCGCCGGCUUUAACGGGGCGGGGGAGCGAGCGGGGGGGCGGCGGGGCGGGCACGGCCCGGCCCCGGGGCUGCGGGGGGAGCCCGGGGGGGAGCCCGGGGGGGAGCCCGGGGGGAACGGGGGGGAACGGGGGAGAACGGGAGCAACCGGGGGUCCCACCUGCCCCCGCCCCGCCGAGCGCGGCCCCGCGGGAGCUGCGCGCAGGUGGAGCCGGCACCGGAGGGCGCCGGGACGGGACGGCCGGGGGAUCGCGGGCGGGGAGGGCCCCGCUGCUUUUAGCGGUUUAGCUUCAUCUUUUCUUUAUUUUUCUCUGUUUUUCCUUUUUUACCCCUUUAGUUCACUUUCUUAAUUUUUUAAUUUUUUUCUUUAUUUUCUCUAUUUUAUUUAUUUAUUUAUUAUUUUCUCUAAUUUAUUUAUUGUUCUUUUUUAUCUUGCUUUAUUUUUCUUUAUUUUAUCUAUUUCUUCUCCUUUCGCUUUUUUUCCUUUGUUUUAUAUUUUUAUAUUUUUAUUAUUUUUUCCUUUUGUUGUCUCUUCCCCUACUGGGGUAACGCAUGUGGUAGCCCCAUAAACUCAAAAGUUCAUGGAAAAAGGAGAGUCUAAGCUUAAUACCCAUUUGACCUACAGUGUCCUGGAAAUUUAGGAACAUCAGCAGGUAGUGGCUGCAGUGUGGGGAGGUGAGCUUGAGCCAGGAGACUGCACAGCAGAGCUUGGAGGGCUGUAGAGCCUCAGGUUAAUCUUUCAUCAAGAAGGUCAACUGAUGUGCUUUGGAGAUCUUCAGCAGAAGCUUCUUGGAAACUCUGGAAUAGAUCUUUCUGGUCCCCCAGCACCUAGAUCAGUCUGGUGGUGGCAGGAACCACCUUUAGUGCUUUUUAGGACUGUGUAGUGGUGCUUUAACAGCAUUUCCCUUCCUCUUUGCACACGAGGAACAGAGAAAGGGGACUCCAGUAAAUCACCCCCACUGUGCGAAUUUUCUAGCAGAUGUACCAAUGCUGUUUUAUCAAACUUGGGCAUUUUGGGGGUGUUGGUGCUGCUGAGGUGCCCAGCCCAGCUGCCCCUGCUCCCUGCAGAGCUCCCUGCCACAGGCUUUUCCUGCUCUCAGCCGCUGUUUGCCCUUGGUGUGGUCAAUAAAUC
rnacentral:lncRNA from 1 species